AGAAACUGCUCAAAGUCUGGAAACGGCAGUGCCUUGAUCAGAUCAGCUGAGCUGAAAAGGAUUCAACCGCAGAAAUAACAAAGACGGAGGUGAUUAGCAACACAUUCUUACCAGCAUGGUGCUCUUAGUUCACGGAACACAGCAUUCUUUCAAUCUUAUAUUGAAUCUGGGGCAAAGAAAUUGACUGCAGUGGGGGUCCAAAAGUCUGAGACCACGAGUGAAAAUGACUUUUGUUUUUUAAAUAAAAAAAAAAAAAAAACUUAAUAUUUAAAUUAAAGAUGAUCCAAAGAGCACCUUGAGCCUCACUGGAAGCAAGAACACCUGAUUGUAAUCCAUGACAAUCUAAGCGAUGAGCUCUGCACCUCUUCGUUCUCACUUCGCUGAAACGCUUCACCAAAAAUCUCAGCGCCGCCGCUACGUCCUCCUACUCCAGAAGAGAGAAGUGAAAGAUUACUACGUGGGGCUCAUUAAGACUGUUUUAUUUUGUCUGCAAUUUUUUCCCCCCGUCUAUUGUCUCUCCACCCUCUCAGCGAAAGUCUCGACGGAGUCACAGCCCUGGGUGCAUCGCAGCGAUGAGACAAAUGCAGAAAAUGAACUGGAAGAAAACAGGGAGGCGAGAAAAAUGCGCGGCUGGCCGACGAUGGCCGAAAACUCAAAGGAGAAAUGGUUACACUGCAUCGCCAGCUUGCCUCAUCUGAAUCCCUGACUCCUGACCUCCCCUGAGGAAGGUGCUCACUGUCAGAAGAACCCCCGGCAUCCUACCGCCACAGAAAGGUGAUUCCUUUAAAGCACCAGAAACGGAUGAAGGAACGAGAGGGGGCUGCGCGAGGCAGGCAGACGGGGAGGGGAGCUGUCGCUUGUGUCAGGUUAACCUCAGAGACACAUCCGGAGCUCAGCAUCUGGGAGACGGAGGGGAGAGAGAGAGGCACCGCCGCUCCAUUUGGCGCAAUUUCACCACGGCAGCAACAGAUAGCAACAAAAGUCCCGUUGAGGUCUUUAAGGUAACCCAUUAUGAUGUUUUCAAUUUUUUGAUAUUCUAUUUUGUAGUAGAUAUUUUUAAAUGUAUUAUAUGCACAAGUUUAUUUUUAUUAAAAAGGUCCUGUAACAUUUAAAUAGCCUUCUGUGUAAGAGAAAAAUAAAAGCCACUCUUUUGCAUUACUUGUUGACUGUGUGGACAUACGCAUAUCUCUUUCUCUUUUUUUAACAAGUCUUAAAUUCAUUAGAUUUAUUUUACAGUGUUUUUACACUUGAUCACAAACCUCGUGAUUUUUUUUAGAAAUGCAACGAAUCUCCCAGGUUUAGAAAACAGGGUAAAUGAUUACAUAAAAAAAAGAGGAGAAAAAAAAAUAACAGAUGGGCCUGCCUAAAAAAAUAUGAUUUUCUACAAAUGACUGCAUUCUCUCCCCUUUGGUGUGAAAAGUAGACUCAAGAACACUUUUAAAUAAUUUGUUCAAUUUGUUCCACAGCCAAAGAAAAGCGGCUUGGUGGAAAUUCAGAUUCAUUAAAACUUAAUUAAUAUGCAUCAUUAUGUAAAUGAGGUUGCAGUUAAUGAGUUCUUAAAAGAAGCCUUCCUUAAUUAGUUCACUUUUUAAUGGCAUCAUCAUUUAUCUUUUUUCUUUGAAGCAGAAUGACGAGAGGACCUCGCCGUUCCCGAAAGUGCUAAAAUUUUCCAUUUUUUAAUUAUUCUUAUUUUCUUAAUUUUUAUAUGAUUAAGAAUGCAUUUAGGGAAGUAAAUAAAUGAGAAAAACUUAGACCUUUUUUUCCAGACUCACUUAUUUCCAUUAAAACAGAGUCUCUGUAGAUACCGGAGUGUUAAAAAGUUAAAGGGAAAGCAUCUUCUUACAAAACAAUCAAGGCUGUCUCACAAUUACCUCCUUGGCUUCUGCGAGUAGCUUCAUUUCUACUAAAUCUGAGCAGCCUCUUAAUUGCUCUCUCCAGUUGGGCUGCAGUAUAUAUUACCACACUCCAUUACUAUUUAUGGAGCCUGAGAUUCAUAUUGCAAAUAUGAAGAUGACUGUGGUCAUUUCCUUCUGUAUUCAUUCUCUCAUUUAUUCAUUUACAUAUUCAAUCACUCGUUUUUUUUUUCCUUUAGUUAAUUAUUUUAUUUACUUACUUGGUAAACAAUUUACCUCAGAUAUAAUGGAUAAAAGUAAUAAGCCAUCUAAUUUUUAGUUCACCACAUCUGAUGGGUUUAGGAAACUAAAUGAGAAUUUAGGAAAUCAUAUUUAUCUUGCACAAGCUCUAUAAAAAGGUGUCUCUUUUCAUUUUCAUAUGAAAAGCAUGCAGUAACAACAGUGUUUAAUUUCUCUUCCCUGCGACAUUGUGACCCGGUUGAAGUGGAGAUCAGUGUCACACACACACACACGCACACACACACACACACACACACACACACACACACACAAAAGUAGUAUUAAAAAAUCCUUGCAAAUUGCAGGCGGGAUAAUUUUACGUUUACUCUCACAUGCCAGAUAGCAUUCUAAACUAUACGAUUUGACGGCAGUGUUUGUGAACGUGUGUGUGUUUGUAAAGGUAGAGAGGGUGUGUGUGGAGGGGGAGACACAGUGUUUUAUGUUCCCGUUCACUAACCAUCACUCUGCUCCUAAUUGAUAACCACUGGCAUUUGAUCAGGCGGUCUUCAAAUAAGGAAUCUAUCUUUGUAUUUUGUAUAAGAAGACCAUCUGUUGUUGCAGAGCUCUACAUUCAUUAAAUUUAAUUUCUCAACCCAGGAAUAAGAUUUUAAUUGUCCAUUGUUACUAGAGGAUUUUCCCCAUCAUCCCUCCAUGCAUGUUUUUUUUUUUUAUUGGUGGGGUGUUGUUGCGGGACAGACUGGUGUUUGUUUGUUUUCUUGUCCUUGUUGAUGUGACCUAGACAUCUGCAAAAAGUAAAACUAACAAGUAAAAUGUGAUAUAUAUAUAUAUAUAAAUUAUUUUAUACAAGUGCAUAACAUUAAAUGUAGAGUGUAUUUUUGUAAUGGUCUUGCAGAAAGUUAAGUGAAGCAAAUAAAAUGAGAACAAAAUUAGUGUGUAAUUAGGAAAUAAAAAAUGAGCGUAUUUGGACACAUUUCUUGCAGGUUGUUAUUGGACAUUUUGAGCAGUGAAUCGUUUGGCAUUUGGUGUUCUGUGAGGAGCGACGGUGGGCAUGUGUUAACUACACACAGGACACUUGAGCGAAAACCAGACGCCCACCGAAUCCUUCAAUCUGUCAUUUCCUCUCGCAGCUCCCGAGCAAGAUAAAAAUAAAGCGAGCACAAAACACUUCUCUCUUAUUACUCUUUCAAAAUAAUGCUCUUCACACUUUAGUUCACUUCUCGGUAGCCUUUACUUGGAAACAUGUUGCAGUGAACAUAUUGUUUAGAAAAUAAGUAGGCCUAAUUUAUUUUUUAUUCGCCAUGGGUGUUCAACAAAUGAUCUAUGAUCAGUAUCAAAAUUCAAGAAACAGUUUUAAUUUUUAAAGUUGUAUUAGGAAUCUAGUUUGCCUAUAAAUAAUUUAUAUAUUUUUUGAUUUUUUUUUUAAUUCUUUGUUUUAUAAUCAAACACUAACCAAAAAGUAUAUUAAUUAAAAUACAGUGAUGAAACAUUUUCCAUAAUGAAAACAUUUCUUUCUUUCUUUCCCUUUGAGAUGUUCAUUAAAAUUAUGCUUGAAUAAACCAAAUCAAUGUUUAUGAUGUAUAUUAAUAAUUUUUUUCACUAUGGCAGGUGUAACAGCUGUUGGUCAUUAUAUGAACCGAGGAGAGGGGAAUAAGCAUUCCUGGUGUUUUUUUUUUUUUCUAUACAAGUGAGACUUCAUUUUACCCCGUCAGACCUGUGAGCGAGAAGUAAACUGCUGGUUUAUUUGGGUUCAGGUGCUAAAAUAGAGUCUUUCUGACAUGCAGUAGCCUGAGGUUUGAUCGCAUGAUUCUUUGGGGUUUUCAUGAGACAAUGAUCGGUGCUGCUUGAUACAAGCAUUUUGCAUUAACAGUUAACUAUGCAUGAGUGUGAAACCCUUGUGAUUUCUGAGACCACUAUGAAUAAAGGAUACACGCCUUGCAAAAUUCAGUCACCAAAAUGAAGUGGAGAGUUUUUGUAGUGAACUAUGACUCCAGAGACUGGAGGUGUACAACUUAAGACGAGUUUCGACAUGAUGUGUACAGUACGGAGAGACGGCGGAUAGACAUACGAACACAGUUCUCAGAAUCAGACAGCACUUCCUCUUAAGUACUUUAGAUAACAAGUUUUACUUAAACUGACCUGACCCGGCAAGAUUUCAGCCAGUCACCAGAUUUUCAUAGCAAUAGACCAGAAACAAUAGUGAAAACCAAUUCUUAUGAAAAAAUAGUUUUUAUGAAAAAAAAAUUCAAAACCAGUUUUUGAUGUGAGCACAAUCCAUUAGUUUUCUUUUUAAACUCUUCCUUAAAUGCUUUAGAAAUUGGUUGCAUAAGUGGAAAAUACAUAAGCUAUAAAUAUACGCUGUAGAUAUUGCUACAGAUUAUGGCCGUCCAAUCAGAGGUGUUUUAAGUGUGCUGUUUUUAUAAACUGAAGAAAUGUCUUUAACCCAUACAGAAAGUGAGUGAUUAAAAUGCUAAUUUUAAGUCAAUAAAGCACUUUUUUAUUUAUUAUGAAAUUGCUAAAGCUAUGUUUCUCAUUCUUAUAAAAUGUGUGAAAUAAACUGAGAUCAUUUUUAAAUUGUGAAUGUGUUAUUUCUGUUCUUCCCUGUGUACAUCAACAAAGUGAUUAUAAUGUUUAAAAAAUACAGUGGUGAAUCACUACUGAUAUUCACUACAUUCGAAUGAUUUUUUUUGCAAAAAAAGAAAACUUUCAAAGUCAAAAUUAUCAUA